rnacentral:rRNA from 1 species
AGUCGAACGAUGAAGCCUAGCUUGCUGGGUGGAUUAGUGGCGAACGGGCGAGUAACACGUGAGUAACCUGCCCUUAACUCUGGGAUAAGCCUGGGAAACUGGGUCUAAUACCGGAUAGGAGCGUCCACCGCAUGGUGGGUGUUGGAAAGAUUUAUCGGUUUUGGAUGGACUCGCGGCCUAUCAGCUUGUUGGUGAGGUAAUGGCUCACCAAGGCGACGACGGGUAGCCGGCCUGAGAGGGUGACCGGCCACACUGGGACUGAGACACGGCCCAGACUCCUACGGGAGGCAGCAGUGGGGAAUAUUGCACAAUGGGCGCAAGCCUGAUGCAGCGACGCCGCGUGAGGGAUGACGGCCUUCGGGUUGUAAACCUCUUUCAGUAGGGAAGAAGCGAAAGUGACGGUACCUGCAGAAGAAGCACCGGCUAACUACGUGCCAGCAGCCGCGGUAAUACGUAGGGUACGAGCGUUAUCCGGAAUUAUUGGGCGUAUAGAGCUCGUAGGCGGUUUGUCGCGUCUGUCGUGAAAGUCCGGGGCUUAACCCCGGAUCUGCGGUGGGUACGGGCAGACUAGAGUGCAGUAGGGGAGACUGGAAUUCCUGGUGUAGCGGUGGAAUGCGCAGAUAUCAGGAGGAACACCGAUGGCGAAGGCAGGUCUCUGGGCUGUAACUGACGCUGAGGAGCGAAAGCAUGGGGAGCGAACAGGAUUAGAUACCCUGGUAGUCCAUGCCGUAAACAUUGGGCACUAGGCGUGGGGACCAUUCCACGGUUUCCGCGCCGCAGCUAACGCAUUAAGUGCCCCGCCUGGGGAGUACGGCCGCAAGGCCAAAACUCAAAGGAAUUGACGGGGGCCCGCACAAGCGGCGGAGCAUGCGGAUUAAUUCGAUGCAACGCGAAGAACCUUACCAAGGCUUGACAUGUUCUCGAUCACCGUAGAGAUACGGUUUCCCCUUUGGGGCGGGUUCACAGGUGGUGCAUGGUUGUCGUCAGCUCGUGUCGUGAGAUGUUGGGUUAAGUCCCGCAACGAGCGCAACCCUCGUUCCAUGUUGCCAGCACGUCGUGGUGGGGACUCAUGGGAGACUGCCGGGGUCAACUCGGAGGAAGGUGAGGACGACGCCAAAUCAUCAUGCCCCUUAUGUCUUGGGCUUCACGCAUGCUACAAUGGCCGGUACAAUGGGUUGCGAUACUGUGAGGUGGAGCUAAUCCCAAAAAGCCGGUCUCAGUUCGGAUUGGGGUCUGCAACUCGACCCCAUGAAGUCGGAGUCGCUAGUAAUCGCAGAUCAGCAACGCUGCGGUGAAUACGUUCCCGGGCCUUGUACACACCGCCCGUCAAGUCACGAAAGUUGCUAACACCCGAAGCCGGUGGCCUAACCCUUGUGGGGGGAGG